UACAGGGGGUGCAAACGUUGCUCGGAAUCAUUGGGCGUAAAGCGCACGUAGGCGGUUCGUUAUGUCGGAUGUGAAAGCCCCGGGCUCAACCUGGGAACGGCAUUUGGGACUGUCGGGCUAGAGUUCGGGAGAGGUGGGUGGAAUUCCCAGUGUAGAGGUGAAAUUCGUAGAUAUUGGGAAGAACACCGGUGGCGAAGGCGGCUCACUGGACCGAGACUGACGCUGAGGCGCGAAAGCGUGGGGAGCAAACAGG
rnacentral:rRNA from 1 species